GACGAACGCUGGCGGCGUGCCUAAUACAUGCAAGUCGAACGAAGCUGUUUUAACUGGUGCUUGCACCGACUUAAACAACUGAGUGGCGAACGGGUGAGUAACACGUGGGUAACCUGCCCCAAAGCGGGGGAUAACAUUUGGAAACAGAUGCUAAUACCUCAUAACCACAGAAACCACAUGGUUUCUGUGUCAAAGAUGGUUUCGGCUAUCUCUUUGGGAUGUACCCGCGGCGUAUUAGCUAGUUGGUAAGGUAAUGGCUUACCAAGGCAAUGAUACGUAGCCGAACUGAGAGGUUGAUCGGCCACAUUGGGACUGAGACACGGCCCAAACUCCUACGGGAGGCAGCAGUAGGGAAUCUUCCACAAUGGACGAAAGUCUGAUGGAGCAACGCCGCGUGAGUGAAGAAGGUUUUCGGAUCGUAAAACUCUGUUGUCAGAGAAGGACGUGUGCGAGAGUAACUGUUCGUGCAGUGACGGUAUCUGGCCAGAAAGCCACGGCUAACUACGUGCCAGCCGCCGCGGUAA
rnacentral:rRNA from 1 species